GUCCUCUAAAUAGGGACCAGCAUGAAUGGCAACAUGAGAAAACCCCUGUCUCUUCAAGCUAGUCAGUGAAACUGACUGCCUGUUAAAAAGCAGGCAUACAAAAAUAAGACAAAAAGACCCUGUGAAACUUCAAGUGUCUUUCAACCUUAUGCAAGACACUUUUCGGUUGGGGCAACCAAUGAGAAAUAAACCUCAUAAAAUCAUAAGGCACACGAGCCGAACAGCACCAAUGAUCCAGUACCACUGAUCAAAGAACAAAGCUACUCCAGGGAUAACAGCGCCACAUUCUUAAAGGUCCAUAUCAACAAGAAUACCUACGACCUCGAUGUUGGAUCAGGGCACCCAAAUGGCGCAGAAGCUAUUAAAGGUUCGUUGUUCAACGAUUAAAGU
rnacentral:rRNA from 1 species